rnacentral:pre_miRNA from 1 species
UCUUACAGAUGAGCAAAGAAAGUAGUUCUCGAGAUGGAAUCUACUCCUCAUGAAGAUGCUGUGAA